AGGGCACCACCAGGAGUGGAGCCUGCGGCUUAAUUUGACUCAACACGGGGGAACUUACCCGGCCUGGACACUGGAAGGAUUGACAGAUUGAGAGCUCUUUCUUGAUUCAGUGGGUGGUGGUGCAUGGCCGUUCUUAGUUGGUGGAGCGAUUUGUCUGGUUAAUUCCGAUAACGAACGAGACUCUAGCCUAUUAAAUAGGCUCUCGGCUUUUAAACGCCGGGAGGACUUCUUAGAGGGACAGGUGGCGGUUCAGCCGCACGAAAGAGAGCAAUAACAGGUCUGUGAUGCCCUUUGUUGUCCGGGGCCGCACGCGCGCUACACUGAAGAGAUCAGCGUGCUUUACGUUCCUGCUCCGACCGGGGUGGGGAACCCAGUGAACCUUCUUCGUGAUUGGGAUAGAAGAUUGUAAUUAUUCUUCUUGAACGAGGAAUUCCCAGUAAAUGCGAGUCAUAAGCUCGCGUUGAUUACGUCCCUGCCCUUUGUACACACCGCCCGUCGCUACUAUCGAUUGAACGAUUU
rnacentral:rRNA from 1 species